rfam:Musca domestica strain aabys unplaced genomic scaffold Scaffold18930, whole genome shotgun sequence.
UCCCAGGUCCUUUUCAGGACCUUCAAAAAAUAAAAAAAAGUUUAG